rnacentral:lncRNA from 1 species
GAGUGACUCCAUUUAUUAAACAACAAAAUUCAGUCCAGUCCUCAAUCUGGCCUUAAUAACAGAAGGUGUAUUAAUCAAAGGCAAGAAAAUGAUUAAAAUCUCCAAUGAUUCAUACUAUCAAACUUUCAUUAUCCAGUGAUCAAGAAGUACUCCCUCAAGUCAAGAAAUAUUCAAUCAAUUCCCCGUUUACCUUAAAAUCCCACAAGCAAACAGUUGGAGUCACAACCUUAAAAACCCUUUCAAAAACUGAUUUGAAAAGAGAAAAGGCACAUAACAUAUGCUGAUUAUCUCGUCAAGUAGCUCUAAUAGCACAAGCGACAUAGAAGCAUAAAUUCAAACACAUAUCCGCGUCAUUUGACCCUUUAAACGAGUCCAUCGGAGAAGAAUAAAGCAGACUAAAACGACACACGUAGCGACACGAAGCAAAGAGAGUGGCACAUUUCAAGAAUCCAUUCAAUCAUAAACAGAAGCCUACUUUAGUCGAUCGUGUUAGACUCGAACAUAUUCUAAGAUUAUAAGACGUAUGCACACACAGGACACAGCAGAACACAUGAUGGUGUAACUUAAUCCAGACUUAAUACUAUCUGAAAAUCACGAGAUUCUCUCUGUUAACGCCCAGAUUCGAUUAUUUAUCUCUAAAACAUGUCAAGCAAAUUCAAACUUCUAAGUCCAUUUUAUCAUACUUCGAAUCAACAUUAACAGAGCAAGAGAAUAAAGACGAACCUGGAAAUUAAGCUUACGAUUAAUUCUGUAGGAAUCGAUUACAACAGAAGAGGAUUUGGUGACGAACUUGAGAAUGAAAACAGCUACUGAAAAUCCAGAGUCAACAAUGAAGUAACAGAGCAGGAAGCCAGCUCAGGGAACGCGGACACGAACACCUCAACUGGCGAACAAAUCUUCAGCACUCAACAACACUUCAAUCGAAUCCCAUGACGGAAAAUGAAAACAGAAACUGAAAAUAAUUUUUUUUUCGUUUUCUUUUUUUUUGUAUUUCUGGAAGCGAAAAAUAAAAAUAAAAAUGGAAGAAUUAGAUGAAAGCCUCAAGAACCCUAAAACCCUAAUUUCUUCAAGUGCUUUUUCUCAAUCUCCCCCCCCCCCUCCCCUUUUCUUUGUCUAAAGGCUCCAAAUAUAUAUCCUUCUCUCGAAGCUUCUUCUUCCUCAGCAAGAAACAUGUGGGACCCUAAAAUCAAAUCCGAAAAUCCCCCUUUCACAAACAAAAAUCGAAAAAAUGGAGACUUUGGAUAAAAAUCUUCAUCCAACGGUUCCCAUUUCUCCCAAAUUUAUUCAAGGGCCUCGGAUUUGUGUUUAAACAAAAGAAAUAAAAGAAGAAAUCCGUAUGAAUUGGAUUGAAAUGAUGAGAUUUGUAUGGAAUGAGUGACGUGGAAGAAAGAGAGAAGAGAGGGGGGACCAUGGGACUCGUUGAGGGUGAACUCGCCCGAUUUCGACGAGUUGGAAGCCGCAAGAGCAUGGAGAUGG